UGAAGACCCACGUCGUCACACAUACAAUUGUACAAUUCCUAUAGGAUUUUUUUUUUUCUAAGCAAUUCCUAUAGGAUUGAACAACACAUAAACAUAAAGGUUUGCUUUUUUUAAUUUAUAUAAUGGGAAAGGCAUAAUUAUAGGAGGAGAGUUGGGAGGAGAUGAGUAAAUCAAAUGAUCAGUAAUGGAUGGAAAUUGCAGAAGGAGAGUUGUUUUGAUGGUGAUGGUGUUUACAAUGCUAAUCAUAGUGGAAGCCAAUGCCCCUCCACUUCCUCGUCGCUUUCUGUCUUUCUGGGUAUACGAUACUAACUGUUUUAAUCGCUGCUCAAAGAAUUGCCUCAUCAAAAAUGCUUCACAAAAGAUUGAAAGAAUUUGCGUGCUGGGAUGUAUCCUCAGCUGCCUCGUAGAAGAGGUACAUCACAAGAAAUGACCGAAUCAUUGAGCACCAAUUUCACAUCUGGUACCGCUGAUGUCGACGAUGACCUAGUGGCUUUAUAUUUGUGAUACUACGACUAAAGCAUGUCACGACGGUUGUAGGAGUUGGACUUAUGGUUAAUCCAAGUUUUUUAGAGACAUUUUAUAUAUGACUUGUGUCACAUGUGACACUUGUUUUGUACAACCAUUCUUUGAGUAAUUAAUAUUUUAAUUAAACUUUAAACAGAAAGACAAUGUAUUGGGUCUAUUGAUGUAAUCUAGAUUUGCCAACUUAUGAGAUUUAAUUUCCGCUGCAUAGAUGGUGAUUCUGGUA